rnacentral:rRNA from 1 species
UACAGAGGGGGCAAGCGUUGUUCGGAAUUACUGGGCGUAAAGGGCGCGUAGGCGGCCUGCUAAGUCGAACGUGAAAUCCCUGGGCUUAACCUGGGAACUGCAUCCGAUACUGGAUGGCUUGAAUCCGGGAGAGGGAUGCAGAAUUCCAGGUGUAGCGGUGAAAUGCGUAGAUAUCUGGAGGAAUACCGGUGGCGAAGGCGGCAUCCUGGACCGGCAUUGACGCUGAUGAGCGAAAGCUAGGGGAGCAAACGGG